rnacentral:tRNA from 1 species
GGUAAGAUGGCUGAGCAUAGCGGCGGAUUGUAGCUCCGCAUAGAGAGGUUAAAGCCCUCUUCUUAUCA